rnacentral:lncRNA from 1 species
UUUUUCUGUUUUUUUUUAGGGUGAGAAGCCUCACGCCUAUAUCUCGCCCAGAUGAGAGAAAUCAAGUGGAAGAGAGCCAGAAGAAUGGUGUAGUGGGUGCAUAUAAAAAAAUCAAUGCAAUGAUCGAUAUAAAGGAGGAGUUGUCAUCCAAACACAAAAGAGAAGGUGGCAAGGUGGAUAGAGAGAUUGCGUGAACACCAUGACCAAAACGCUUCUAAAUUGUGAUGGAGGUUGAGGUGAGGAACACAUGUGCGGAGGAGUGUAGGCUUGAUAUCGAGGCCGAGAGGAAACAAAUAAGAGAAAGGAACAAAAGUGAAGGAUUAUGUUCAUGGAUGCUAUCGGCCAAUAUUGGAAGUUCACCCCUAUGUACCCUUGGUAGUGGUAAAUUCAUGUUUCUUAUUAUGAAUAUAUGUGUGGGAUGGGGUGGCUUUUUGUUACUAUUUUGCAUUCGGUGGCUUUCGAUACUUUAUGUUGAUAUUUUUCGUUCAAUUUGAAAUGAUGUUCAAAUUUGUGUAUUCAAAAGUCGUACUACCAAGUCAGCGACAAUUUAAUAUGGAUCAAAGGGAGUUGCGUCGUCAAAAAGUUCAAACUGUGCAGUGUUUGCAAGGAGAAAUAGAAACAAAAGUUUGAAUUGUUCAAUGAGUAAUGGAACAGAAAUUUAAAUUUUGCGUUUACAAAGGUGGAAUGUGAAGUUAAAUCUGGCCUUUUUUGGUUUGUAGGAAUCACACAGGAUAAGAGUUGUAUAGGAAAAAUUCCUUUGAGCCAUUCUUAUUCCUAUAGAGAAAUUCUUUCUAUUAAGAAAAUAAGCAUUGACCUUGACUCAAUGAAAAAAAUCCUAUGAUGCGAACCAAAAGGCAUCUUCUUCUCUAUUCCAGUUCGGAUUUCAAAUCUCAUUUCCUAUGACUAUCCUAUCCUAUGAACCAAUGGCCUUAUGAGGGGAGAUGUGACAGAAUUCGUGCACGAAACUUUUGACAUAAUUGCAGUAUUUUCUUUUCAAAGUUUAAGUUCACCCUCGAAAACUGCGUUACUACAACGACACGUGGGAUAGCUGUACUUCAAGCAAAGAUACUGCAGAGGCACUGAAGCUAACCAAAUACAAUGAACAUCACUUAAGAGACAAUGGACAUCGCCAAGCAAAGAUAUUGCAAGGCGCUGAAGCUAAGCAAUGACUGGUUGCAACGAAACAUGGUCUUCAAGCUCACAAAAUCAAAAGAGUUGACAGCGAUAAGAAUCUUGCAAAAUAUCAUUCAAACACUGGGGCGAUAGAUUUUGCUACUCUCAGUACAAAGUACUUUACUAAUUACUGUCAAUUGCUCAAACAGAACAACAGCCGCUCCACGCAAACAGCGACUAACAAGAAAGGGCGACUUA